rnacentral:rRNA from 1 species
GACAGAGGGUGCAAACGUUGCUCGGAAUCACUGGGCGUAAAGGGCGUGUAGGCGGGAAGGAAAGUCAGAUGUGAAAUCCCUGGGCUCAACCCAGGAACUGCAUUUGAAACUCCCUUUCUUGAGUGUCGGAGAGGAAAGCGGAAUUCCUGGUGUAGAGGUGAAAUUCGUAGAUAUCAGGAGGAACACCGGUGGCGAAGGCGGUCUUCUGG